UAGCCUCCCAAAACUUUGACCCAGUCGCUGUCAGUGUUGCCACCACCCAUAAAGGAGCUGAGCCCAGCAGGAGCAUUGCCUGGGACCCUGUAGGCAAAAGGCUACAGCAGGAGCUGGUGACCCUCACAAUGCCUGGUGACAAAAGAAUUUCUGCCUGCCCUGAAAGCCUUAUCAAAUGGAGACUAUCCAUGGAGCUGCUGGCACAGUGUAUGAAGACCUGAGGUAUAAACUCUUGCUAGAGUUCCUCAGUGACUACCCACCCUUACAAUGCACCCAUGGUGAAGUUCCUCACACCCUGCUACCACCCUAACAUGAACACCCAGGGUAACAUAUGCCUGGAAAUCCUGAAGGAGAAGUGGUCUGCCCUGUAUGAUAUCAGGACCAUCCUGCUCUCUAUCCAGUGCCUGCUGGAACCCAACAUUAAUAGCCCUUUAAACACACAUGCUACCAAGCUCUGGGAAACCCCACAGCUUUAAGAAGUACUUGCAAGGGCCGGGCGCGUUGGCUCACGACUAAUCCCAGCACUUUGGGAGGCCGAGGUGGGAGGAUCACCUGAGGUAGAUAGAGAGUCCAAGGCCUGAUAAACAUGGAGAAACCUCAUCUCUAUUUAAAAAAAUUAAAAAUUGGCCAAGCGUGGUAGCAUGUGCCUGUAAU